GACGAACGCUGGCGGCGUGCCUAAUACAUGCAAGUCGAGCGAAGUUUUUCUGGUGCUUGCACCGGAAAAACUUAGCGGCGAACGGGUGAGUAACACGUAAAGAACCUGCCUCAUAGACUGGGACAACUAUUGGAAACGAUAGCUAAUACCGGAUAACAGCAUUAACUGCAUGGUUGAUGUUUAAAAGUUGGUUUUGCUAACACUAUGAGAUGGCUUUGCGGUGCAUUAGCUAGUUGGUGGGGUAAAGGCCUACCAAGGCGACGAUGCAUAGCCGACCUGAGAGGGUGAUCGGCCACACUGGGACUGAGACACGGCCCAGACUCCUACGGGAGGCAGCAGUAGGGAAUCUUCCGCAAUGGGCGAAAGCCUGACGGAGCAACGCCGCGUGAGUGAAGAAGGAUUUCGGUUCGUAAAGCUCUGUUGUUAGGGAAGAAUGAUUGUGUAGUAACUAUAAACAGUAGAGACGGUACCUAACCAGAAAGCCACGGCUAACUACGUG
rnacentral:rRNA from 1 species